GCGCGUAGGCGGCCUGUGUAAGUCUGAUGUGAAAUCCCGGGGCUUACACCCCGGAAGUGCAUUUGANACUGCCUGGCUUGAGUAUGGGAGAGGGAAGUGGAAUUCCUGGUGUAGCGGUGAAAUGCGUAGAUAUCUGGAGGAACACCGGUGGCGAAGGCGNCUUCCUGGACCNAUACUGACGCUGAGGCGCGAAAGCGUGGGGAGCAAACAGGAUUAGAUACCCUGGUAGUCCACGCCGUAAACGAUGAUCACUAGGUGUAGCGGGUAUUGACCCCUGCUGUGCCGGAUCUAACAANAUUAAGUGNACCCCCUGGAGACUACGCCCCCGGG
rnacentral:rRNA from 1 species